AGCAGCCGCGGUAAUUCCAGCUCCAAUAGCGUAUAUUAAAGUUGUUGCAGUUAAAAAGCUCGUAGUUGAAUUUCGGGAUUGACGUGAUGGUCAUGCCUUAAGGGGUAUGAACUGUUGCAGUUGAUUUCUCACCUUCUGGAGAAACUUGAUGUCCUUUAUUGGGUGUCUUGCGGAUCCAGGACCUUUACCUUGAAAAAAUUAGAGUGUUUAAAGCAGGCAUUUUUGCUCGAAUACAUUAGCAUGGAAUAAUAGAAUAGGACGGCAUGGUUCUAUUUUGUUGGUUUCUAGGAUCACCGUAAUGAUUAAUAGGGAUAGUUGGGGGCAUUAGUAUUCAAUUGUCAGAGGUGAAAUUCUUGGAUUUAUUGAAGACUAACUACUGCGAAAGCAUUUGCCAAGGAUGUUUUCAUUAAUCAAGAACGAAAGUUAGGGGAUCGAAGACGAUCAGAUACC
rnacentral:rRNA from 1 species